AUGCCACAUCAGCGCCAGGUCAGAAAGUCGUUUCUCCAGGAGUUGACACGUGUCAAUUAUUCUAAACACACCGUAUCACUAACACGAUUGUAUCAUGGGCUUCGUCUGCUGUUGUGCGAUUGGGUUUUGUAAUGGGAAAUAGAUCUGGCCCGUAUAGAUUGAUGUCACCUCUAACCCUAGAACGUCUGAGGCAAAGAAACCAGGACCGUCGCUCCCCUCCGUGCGGUGGCGAGGCACUGACGUUUAAGCUUCUUUCCACGACCUGAAACGCUCUGAUUUAUGUCUUCGUCUUUAUUCUAAUUGAUUCGUUCUCCACGAUCUGAGAGGCGGUGUAGUUCAGUAUAAAUAUAUGUUAGAUUCCUCUCCUUGAACACAUCUUAUGCCCGUGACGGGUGAGAUUAUAAUUUCUUUCGUCAGAUCAGCUGCGGUCGUAAUCUCUCUCUCUCUCUCUCUUUUUGGUUGUAGUUAUGAUGUGGUUAGUCUAAUGACGUUUCAGGGCUGCUACACGAGAUGCUUGGAUCUACCAAAACAAGAGAUUCAAAAGCUUGGAAGGUGUUUUUGCAUUAGUUCACUUUUUCCUUGACUUUCUCCAUGUGGGAGUGGAAAACAGAAGGUCGUUUCAUCAGAUUUGUUCAUUGCCAACAAAAAAAAAAAAAGUUGUGUACGUAACACCUUUUGGAAAAUGUCUUCUGCAGCGAUUCUUCAUGUUUUAGCGGAUUUCCUGUUCCUAAACAUAUCCAGUCCUUUUUUUGUUGACUAUAGGAGGCCAACAAUAUCUACAGAAAAGGAAAAAUUUUAGUUCUCAAAUGAAAGCACUUGCAAACCAUUCCCAUUUCCUAGAGUUUACUCAUACAACAUCACCGGAGAAGAGAUAGGAGGGAGAUGAGGGUUAAGAAUGGAUACAUCGAUGGUAAUGGCAAGAAGUUCUCAUGUGGUGAUUGGUGCCAAGAUUAAUCGGAUACAAGAGCUGACGGACAAUAUAUUGCACGCCAACUUCAGGUCACCUUUACACUGACAAACACGUAAAUCUAAAUAGGGAGUACACAUGUCUCAUCCUCACCAAUCUCUUCCAUCGCACUGCUCUAUUAGCGAGAAUGGUAUAAGAGGCUGAUCAUGAGUUUUAUUCUUCGUCAGCCCCAAAAGGUUGCUUGACUCAGUUUUUGGGAUCUUGACAAAAUCUGUCUAAGCAACCUAAAAGAAAGCACGCAAGUGGAGGUUUCAUUAUUUUGCAAUUUAUGAUGACUUAGAUUCUGGUGAUUGUGUUAACUUUUAGCUUCUUACUGAUUUGAGUUCGUAUAUGGUCAUUUUUCAGUUUUUACUGUUAGUCUGUAUAUUUAUUAGUCUAUCACCUCUUAUGUGAUUUGAGACUUGGUCGUCCGAGAACAGAAAGUCUUCUUCCAAUUCUUCUAAUAUUUUUACACCAUUGUGCAUUUGUAUUUAUUUCCAAAGUGAUGAUGUGUAGAUUCAAUC